rnacentral:rRNA from 1 species
GACGGACGCUGGCGGCGUGCUUAACACAUGCAAGUCGAACGGAAAGGCCCUGCUUUUGUGGGGUGCUCGAGUGGCGAACGGGUGAGUAACACGUGAGUAACCUGCCCUUGACUUUGGGAUAACUUCAGGAAACUGGGGCUAAUACCGGAUAGGAGCUCCUGCUGCAUGGUGGGGGUUGGAAAGUUUCGGCGGUUGGGGAUGGACUCGCGGCUUAUCAGCUUGUUGGUGGGGUAGUGGCUUACCAAGGCUUUGACGGGUAGCCGGCCUGAGAGGGUGACCGGCCACAUUGGGACUGAGAUACGGCCCAGACUCCUACGGGAGGCAGCAGUGGGGAAUAUUGCACAAUGGGCGGAAGCCUGAUGCAGCAACGCCGCGUGCUGGAUGACGGCCUUCGGGUUGUAAACCGCUUUCGCCUGUGACGAAGCGUGAGUGACGGUAAUGGGUAAAGAAGCACCGGCUAACUACGUG